UACGGAGGGUGCGAGCGUUAAUCGGAAUUACUGGGCGUAAAGGGUGCGUAGGUGGUUGAUUAAGUUAUGUGUGAAAUUCCUGGGCUUAACCUAGGGAGGCCAGAUGAUACUGAUUGACUCGAGUAGGGUAGAGGGUAGUGGAAUUUCCGGUGUAGCGGUGAAAUGCGUAGAGAUCGGAAGGAACACCGGUGGCGAAGGCGGCUACCUGGACUCAUACUGACACUGAGGCACGAAAGCGUGGGGAGCAAACAGG
rnacentral:rRNA from 1 species